rnacentral:rRNA from 1 species
GAUGAACGCUGGCGGCGUGCCUAAUACAUGCAAGUCGAGCGAACAGACGAGGAGUUUGCUCCUCUGACGUUAGCGGCGGACGGGUGAGUAACACGUGGAUAACCUACCUAUAAGACUGGGAUAACUUCGGGAAACCGGAGCUAAUACCGGAUAACAUGUUGAACCGCAUGGUUCAACAGUGAAAGACGGUCUUGCUGUCACUUAUAGAUGGAUCCGCGCCGCAUUAGCUAGUUGGUAAGGUAACGGCUUACCAAGGCAACGAUGCGUAGCCGACCUGAGAGGGUGAUCGGCCACACUGGAACUGAGACACGGUCCAGACUCCUACGGGAGGCAGCAGUAGGGAAUCUUCCGCAAUGGGCGAAAGCCUGACGGAGCAACGCCGCGUGAGUGAAGAAGGUCUUCGGAUCGUAAAGCUCUGUAAUUUGGGAAGAACAAAUGUGUAAGUAACUAUGCACGUCUUGACGGUACCUAAUCAGAAAGCCACGGCUAACUACGUG